UGAUAAAAAAAGGACUCUAACCUUUAUUAUAAGGGCUACAACCCUACGCCUAUUUCGGCCAUUUUACC
rnacentral:tRNA from 1 species